rnacentral:rRNA from 1 species
GAUCAUGGCUAAGGAUGAACGCUAGCUACAGGCUUAACACAUGCAAGUCGAGGGGCAGCAUGAACUUAGCUUGCUAAGUUUGAUGGCGACCGGCGCACGGGUGAGUAACACGUAUCCAACCUGCCGAUGACUCGGGGAUGGCCUUUCGAAAGAAAGAUUAAUACCCGAUGGCAUAGUUCUUCCGCAUGGUAGAACUAUUAAAGAAUUUCGGUCAUCGAUGGGGAUGCGUUCCAUUAGGUUG